UAAUAAGUGUUUUUAUGGCACUUUUUUAAAUCCAUAUCCACCUUGUGUGCAAUGUCAGUCGAUCUUCUUCAUGGAGAUCGACCAAAACAUCAACCUUUAUCUUUUAACUCUUUGUCUGAAAAAAUAUUAUGAAUAAACAAUUCAAAAAUA
rnacentral:misc_RNA from 1 species